GGAGGAAAAGAAACUAACAAGGAUUCCCCUAGUAGCGGCGAGCGAAGCGGGAAAAGCUCAAAUUUGUAAUCUGGCGUCUACGACGUCCGAGUUGUAAUCUCGAGAAGUGUUUUCCGUGAUAGACCGCAUACAAGUCUCUUGGAACAGAGCGUCAUAGUGGUGAGAACCCAGUACACGAUGCGGAUGCCUAUUACUUUGUGAUACACUUUCGAAGAGUCGAGUUGUUUGGGAAUGCAGCUCAAAUUGGGUGGUAAAUUCCAUCUAAAGCUAAAUAUUGGCGAGAGACCGAUAGCGAACAAGUACCGUGAGGGAAAGAUGAAAAGCACUUUGGAAAGAGAGUUAACAGUACGUGAAAUUGUUGGAAGGGAAACACAUGCAGCCAGACUUGCUAUUCGGGGCAACUCGAUUGGCAGGCCCGCAUCAGUUUUUCGGGGCGGAAAAUCAUAGAGAGAAGGUAGCAAUUUCGGUUGUGUUAUAGCUCUUUAUUGGAUUCGCCCUGGGGGACUGAGGAACGCAGCGUGCUUUUAGCAUAAGCUUCGGCUUAUCCACGCUUAGGAUGCGGGUGUAAUGGCUGUAUAUGACCCGUCUU
rnacentral:rRNA from 1 species